rnacentral:lncRNA from 1 species
CUGCCACUGAUCUGACAGGAGGUGGAGCUUAGGUGGUAAAGCUGGCUGUCUCGCCACUCACCUCCUGCUAUGCAGCCUGGUUCCUAGCAGGCUACUUACAAGUCCACACCCCUAUUAUAAAGUAUAAUUGAGCAGCAACAUCAUGGAAUCAUGGAACAAUACUUGACUUUCUAGGGGGAAGUGUGAAGGAGUGAAGAGGACAGAGAUGGGGUUUCACCAUGUUGUCCAGGCUGGUCUCGAACUCCUAAGCUGAAGCAACAUGCCUGCCUAGGCCUCCCGAAGUGCUGAGAUUACAAGAAUGAGCCACCACACCCAGCCAAGGAUUUUGACUCUUAUCCUAUGAAUAAUGAGAAGCUGCUGGAGUGUUUUAAACUAGCAAGAAAACUAACAAAGUUUGCAUGUUGGAAAAUGUGCUUGGCAAUAAGCCAUUUCCAGCUUCUGGUAAUCAUUCUAUUCUCUACUUCAAUGAGAUCAACUUCUGUGGCUCCCACAUAUGCCUGAGAACAGAUGCUGGUUACGUGAGUGUGCUCACUUUGAUUUGUGUGUGUUCCUGUACGUUAUACUUCAAUACAUUUUAUUGACAACUCCGGUUGGUGACACAGAUAUAAUUAUGCAUAAAAUAAAACAAAUAAAAUACGUACCCCACAACAAACACUACCAGUGUCCACGUGCCUAGGCUGCGCCUUGGGACUAGCCUGCUCAACCUACCACUGACACCACUGGCACCCAUGUGCAAUGUCAGGGUGCCUGAAAACUGGUCUUCCAUGAUCCACAUUCACCACCUAGGGACCUGAGCACUAGCCUGUCCAGUCUGCCACUGCUACCACAGUGUAUGCACACCCAGUCCAGCUCGCAGAGACUGGCCUGCCCAGGACAUACUACUAACACCAGUGCCUGGAUACACAAUAUAGGGGUCUUGAGAAACAUGCUCCCUGGCUCUCUUGAGAAACAUGUCCCCAGCAAAGCCUUACUACAGCCUCUACAAACAAGCACAGCCUAAGCCAUUAGGAACAUGCGGACACCACUGACAUUGAUUAUAGCCAAAGAAAUCAUACAGAAACUACACUACAGUGCCC